rnacentral:rRNA from 1 species
CGGGAGAUAGCUGGUUCUCCCCGAAAGCUAUUUAGGUAGCGCCUCGUGAAUUCAUCUCCGGGGGUAGAGCACUGUUUCGGCAAGGGGGUCAUCCCGACUUACCAACCCGAUGCAAACUGCGAAUACCGGAGAAUGUUAUCACGGGAGACACACGGCGGGUGCUAACGUCCGUCGUGAAGAGGGAAACAACCCAGACCGCCAGCUAAGGUCCCAAAGUCAUGGUUAAGUGGGAAACGAUGUGGGAAGGCCCAGACAGCCAGGAUGUUGGCUUAGAAGCAGCCAUCAUUUAAAGAAAGCGUAAUAGCUCACUGGUCGAGUCGGCCUGCGCGGAAGAUGUAACGGGGCUAAACCAUGCACCGAAGCUGCGGCAGCGACGCUUAUGCGUUGUUGGGUAGGGGAGCGUUCUGUAAGCCUGUGAAGGUGUGCUGUGAGGCAUGCUGGAGGUAUCAGAAGUGCGAAUGCUGACAUAAGUAACGAUAAAGCGGGUGAAAAGCCCGCUCGCCGGAAGACCAAGGGUUCCUGUCCAACGUUAAUCGGGGCAGGGUGAGUCGACCCCUAAGGCGAGGCCGAAAGGCGUAGUCGAUGGGAAACAGGUUAAUAUUCCUGUACUUGGUGUUACUGCGAAGGGGGGACGGAGAAGGCUAUGUUGGCCGGGCGACGGUUGUCCCGGUUUAAGCGUGUAGGCUGGUUUUCCAGGCAAAUCCGGAAAAUCAAGGCUGAGGCGUGAUGACGAGGCACUACGGUGCUGAAGCAACAAAUGCCCUGCUUCCAGGAAAAGCCUCUAAGCAUCAGGUAACAUCAAAUCGUACCCCAAACCGACACAGGUGGUCAGGUAGAGAAUACCAAGGCGCUUGAGAGAACUCGGGUGAAGGAACUAGGCAAAAUGGUGCCGUAACUUCGGGAGAAGGCACGCUGAUAUGUAGGUGAGGUCCCUCGCGGAUGGAGCUGAAAUCAGUCGAAGAUACCAGCUGGCUGCAACUGUUUAUUAAAAACACAGCACUGUGCAAACACGAAAGUGGACGUAUACGGUGUGACGCCUGCCCGGUGCCGGAAGGUUAAUUGAUGGGGUUAGCGGUAACGCGAAGCUCUUGAUCGAAGCCCCGGUAAACGGCGGCCGUAACUAUAACGGUCCUAAGGUAGCGAAAUUCCUUGUCGGGUAAGUUCCGACCUGCACGAAUGGCGUAAUGAUGGCCAGGCUGUCUCCACCCGAGACUCAGUGAAAUUGAACUCGCUGUGAAGAUGCAGUGUACCCGCGGCAAGACGGAAAGACCCCGUGAACCUUUACUAUAGCUUGACACUGAACAUUGAGCCUUGAUGUGUAGGAUAGGUGGGAGGCUUUGAAGUGUGGACGCCAGUCUGCAUGGAGCCGACCUUGAAAUACCACCCUUUAAUGUUUGAUGUUCUAACGUUGACCCGUAAUCCGGGUUGCGGACAGUGUCUGGUGGGUAGUUUGACUGGGGCGGUCUCCUCCUAAAGAGUAACGGAGGAGCACGAAGGUUGGCUAAUCCUGGUCGGACAUCAGGAGGUUAGUGCAAUGGCAUAAGCCAGCUUGACUGCGAGCGUGACGGCGCGAGCAGGUGCGAAAGCAGGUCAUAGUGAUCCGGUGGUUCUGAAUGGAAGGGCCAUCGCUCAACGGAUAAAAGGUACUCCGGGGAUAACAGGCUGAUACCGCCCAAGAGUUCAUAUCGACGGCGGUGUUUGGCACCUCGAUGUCGGCUCAUCACAUCCUGGGGCUGAAGUAGGUCCCAAGGGUAUGGCUGUUCGCCAUUUAAAGUGGUACGCGAGCUGGGUUUAGAACGUCGUGAGACAGUUCGGUCCCUAUCUGCCGUGGGCGCUGGAGAACUGAGGGGGGCUGCUCCUAGUACGAGAGGACCGGAGUGGACGCAUCACUGGUGUUCGGGUUGUCAUGCCAAUGGCACUGCCCGGUAGCUAAAUGCGGAAGAGAUAAGUGCUGAAAGCAUCUAAGCACGAAACUUGCCCCGAGAUGAGUUCUCCCUGACUCCUUGAGAGUCCUGAAGGAACGUUGAAGACGACGACGUUGAUAGGCCGGGUGUGUAAGCGCAGCGAUGCGUUGAGCUAACCGGUACUAAUGAACCGUGAGG